CUUAGCCUCCCGAGUAGCUGGGACUACAGGUGCCUGCUACCACGCCCAGCUAAUUUUUUGUAGUUUUAGUAGAGGCGGAGUUUCACUGUGUUAGCCAGGAUGGUCUUGAUCGCCUGACCUCGUGACCUGCCUGCCUCGGCCUCCCGAAGUGCUGGGAUUACAGGCAUAAGCCACCGCGCCCGGUCAACAGCAUGGUUUUAUAGAAGACCAAUUAAUUAUCAUUUUACAAUUUUAUCAGCUGGAAAAGCUAAAAGAACAGCUAGUGGAGGAGAAGGAUUCUGAGACGUCCUAUGCUGUAGAUGGUCUAUUCUCUUCUCAUCCUAGCAAACGAGAAAUGGGAGUCUCGCCAUCUUGCCCAGGCUCAUUUCAAACUCCUGAGCACAAGCGAUCCUUCAUCUUGGCGUCCUGAACUGCUGGGAUUAAAGGCACAGUGGCUCAUAUCUGUACGACCAGCUACUUGGAAGAUUGAGGAGGGAGUAUCCCUUGAGUCCAGGAGUUCCGAUCAGAUUGAGCAAUAUAAAGAGACCCCGUCACAAAACAAAAUAAACAAGAAAAAAUUUAAUUUGUAUUUAUGGGAUGGAAAAAUUCUAUAAAGAGAAAAUUCCACCUCCUCUACUGUUAGUGGUGAAGCUCACAUAAGAAAGAGCCAGCUGAGAGUCUGUCAAGGGGAGACCCAAAACCAGAGAAACUCCUUUUCUUCUUUGUCUCAAUCACAUCAUUUUCUAGGGACACCAAUUCAUCAAGAAGCAAGAGUUUUGCUGUCAGUUCCUCCUGCAUUCAUUCUUCCUGCUGCCUUGUGAAGAAGGUGCCUUGCUUCCCCUUUGCCUUCCACCAUGAUUGUAAGUUUAACGAGGACUCCCCAGCCAUGCAGAACUGUAAGUCAAUUAAACCUCUUUCCUUUAUAAAUAACACACUGUUGGGCAGUUCUUUAUAGCAGUAUGAAAAUGGACUAAUACAGUAAAUUGUUACCAAAGAGAGUGGGGUGUUGCUAUAAAGAUACCCAAAAAUGUGGAAGCAACUUUGGAAAUGGGAAAUAGGCAGAGGUUGGAACAGUUG
rnacentral:lncRNA from 1 species